UUAUUCAGCAAUUGCACCAUUCUUGUGCUUCACAUUCAAACACUGGAAUUAUUGCACUUCCAAGCAACCACGCCGCGGCUGCUAGCACUGUUGAACAAAUGCAAACACGAAAUUUAGAAGCCAGAAGAACAUAUUGAAGCCGCACCAUUCUCUGGAGAAGCUACCAACUGAAAGUUCUUCACCGAGGCGACGGUUACCCGACCAUGAAAGUUCAAACACCAGCAUUGGAGCUGUUCAUGCCAUCUGGGAGCCUUAUUUUUCAGAACCAGUGAACCUUCUCUUUGAGUUUCUAUAGGCCCAGACAAAGACUUCUCCAAGCGACUUGAUUUGGAUCGAAGAAAUCGCAUCGGAAGAGAGGAACCACUAUUGCCCAUUGGAAAAUCAACCUGUGUGGGAGCUAUACCUCCAGGUUUAAUGGCAGAAGCUGGGAUAGCAUCCAUCACACAAUGCAUUCUUCUUGGCCCCCUGCUAGUUACAUAAGAUGAUUGAUCUAUCAUUAUCCACUGUCUAACACUUACCAAUGUGUUACCAUUAGUAUCAUUACUAGAAGAGCUUUUCUAUAUUUUUCGAGAAAGAGAAUUCAUGUGUCAAGAAAAAUUUAGUUCUCCAAA